AGUGAUGAUAGAGGCGCGGAGUUCAAGAGUACAAGCUUGGAGAAGAAUGAGCUUCCAUGAAAAGUUUGGAAAGGGGACGGCCGCCGAAGCAGUGAAAGGCUCAUUCCUUUUUCUGCUGGUUCUGUGUUUAAGAAAUGCAGAACUGUCAAGAUGGUAUCGUCUUGGAGAGCUAUCUCACGC
rfam:Bacillus smithii strain DSM 4216, complete genome.